GACGAGAAUCGGUCGCCGGAGAUCUCGUCGGAUCCAUCGCUGGAGUGUAACAGAAAGCUAGGAUCCAGAUUUGGCUUGAAGGAUUUAAGGAUUGAAGGAAGAAUCACUAUCCGUUUUCUCUUUAGGGAUUUUGCUGCAACGGCACUGUGGUUCAGGAUUCAGAACUUGGACAGGUAGGUUAUAUCAAAACACUCUUAACAACAUGAGACAUCAAAUGCCACACACGCUCACAGAAUCUCUCAUAUAAGAAGAAGCAAUGCCAAUUCGUUAGUUUUGAUUUUUCGUUAGUUAUAAUAACAAAUAUGUACAUUAGUAGAGUAAUCAAGUAUUUACUACACCGUGGGUUAGUUAUAGAUUCAAAUUAAGUGGUAUUUGUAGCCAAUACAUUAGUUAGCACAUGACUUCGAAUCCUUUUAGUAUUUAAUCAUUUUCUUUUUAGUUGAUCUGAUGCAAACAAGGGUAGAUAAGUAUCAUAUUUUCAGCUUUCAAAACCACAAACCAUUUACUGUGUCUUCUUUAUCAUUGAGACCAUGUAGCUUAUUGAUAUGAAAUUUUUAACAUCUUUCUGGAAUGACAAUCUUCUCUGUUUCUAGGCUUUGUUUAUUUGUCUCUAAAGGUUCUGGAUUCAACUUCUGAACAAGGUAGUAGUCCACAAGAAGGAUCUUUCUUACGUGAGUUUUUUGUUCCUCUUCUCUCUGUCUCUUUUCUGAUUUCAGUAUCCCAAGUGUGAUCUUAUUUUCUUGCCCUCUGUUAUAUAAUUGGUGUUAUUGAUUGAUUCUUCAUUCAUUUAUCGAUGAAGGGUUGGUUUUCAUUUGUGUUGAAUUGGAUCUUUGUUUGAGGCUUCUUUUUAUUGUUCGGAUGAUUAUGAUUUGGUCAUUUACUGGAAAUUGAGAAUUUUUCGAUUCAGUUCCAUAGAGUAAUGGUAUAGACUAUAGAGUAAAGGAAAUCGAAGAAGUUUGCUUUGUUUAAUGGAAACUGUUGGGGAAAGGAUCAUUGUCCUAUUUCGCUCCAUGGUGAGUUUAAUGGUGGAUGAUUUGCUGAAGCGUUUUAUUCGAUUCCUUUGGUUUUGUAUUUGGUUCUCAUUGAAUUCAUAUAGGACUGAUAUUGAUAAAGAUUAGUCUGAGGCUUUGAGCUAGUGCAUUUGUUUGAUUGAUGAAUGAAACUGUCAUGUUGAAUUUGUUGGUAUGAUAUUAAUUUGUCUGUGCAGGUCCCAAACCGGAGGUUGUUGAAGCUGAAUAAUGUUGUGUGCCUCAUUGAUCUCUUGAUGUAAGAAGCUGAAUAAUGUUGUGUGCAGAUUGGGACAAAGCAAUGGCGUUACUAUGACAAAACCAAACUCUCUUUUUCAAACUCUACUUUGAUUAAUAUGAGAAUGUAGCUAUUUAUUAUUUGUUACUUAACAGAGGGCAUUUUAGUUAUUUACAUAUAUAUGAGA